ACGAACGCUGGCGGCGUGCUUAACACAUGCAAGUCGAACGGAAAGGCCCUGCUUUUGUGGGGUGCUCGAGUGGCGAACGGGUGAGUAACACGUGAGUAACCUGCCCUUGACUUUGGGAUAACUUCAGGAAACUGGGGCUAAUAUCGGAUAGGAGCUCCUGCUGCAUGGUGGGGGUUGGAAAGUUUCGGCGGUUGGGGAUGGACUCGCGGCUUAUCAGCUUGUUGGUGGGGUAGUGGCUUACCAAGGCUUUGACGGGUAGCCGGCCUGAGAGGGUGACCGGCCACAUUGGGACUGAGAUACGGCCCCGACUCCUACGGGAGGCAGCAGUGGGGAAUAUUGCACAAUGGGCGGAAGCCUGAUGCAGCAACGCCGCGUGCGGGAUGACGGCCUUCGGGUUGUAAACCGCUUUCGCCUGUGACGAAGCGUGAGUGACGGUAAUGGGUAAAGAAGCACCGGCUAACUACGUG
rnacentral:rRNA from 1 species